rnacentral:rRNA from 1 species
GAUGAACGCUGGCGGCGUGCCUAAUACAUGCAAGUCGAGCGAACGGACGAGAAGCUUGCUUCUGUGAUGUUAGCGGCGGACGGGUGAGUAACACGUGGAUAACCUACCUAUAAGACUGUGAUAACGUCGGGAAACCGGUGCUAAUACCGGAUAAUAUUUUGAACCGCAUGGUUCAAAAGUGAAAGACGGCCUUGCUGUCACCUAUAGAUGGAUCCGCGCUGCAUUAGCUUGUUGGUAGGUAACGGCUUACCAAGGCAACGAUGCAUAGCCGACCUGAGAGGGUGAUCGGCCACACUGGAACUGAGACACGGUCCAGACUCCUACGGGAGGCAGCAGUAGGGAAUCCUCGGCAAUGGGCGAAAGCCUGACGGAGCAACGCCGCGUGUGUGAUGAAGGUCUUCGGAUCGUAAAACACUGUUAUUAGGGAAGAACAUAUGUGUAAGUAAAUGUGCGCAUCUUGACGGUACCUAAUCAGAAAGCCACGGCUAACUACGUG